rnacentral:lncRNA from 1 species
GAGUUCCAACCUUCUCUUGAACUGAACCACUUUGCGAAUGCUGGUUUUCCCUUCAAAUUUCCACUUAAAAGAGUGUUGCCUGCACAAACAUAUCAUUUACACUAAACUGGAACAUGCGUGUCUCCAACAGUGCUUUUACAUUAAACUGUAUUUUUUUUCUGAUAUGACAGUGUUAGCUUUAGUAAACUAUAGGUUUUAAGUGUGACAAUAUUUUAGUAAAACUUCUACUGAUGAUCGUCACCCAUUAACUCCACACCUGAUUCCUUUGUGCAGCUAGCCGUUCUCAGUCUCGGGACAUGACCGAAUCACAAACCACAGUAACCUCAACCUUGAACAUCCUGCGGAUCAUCUGUCCACUCAAUCUUCUCAUCACGAAGCAGCAAAUCAUUUCCUGCUCAUCAUGAAGUAGCAAAUCAGUUCUGUGCUAGACCACCCAUCGCGUGCGUCCACUCAUGGCUCACAGAAACAUAAACAAAAGUUGGUAAUAUAUAUAAGCAUCCUAUUCUAGACCUCCAGAUCCCAUGCCAAGAAAACUGCACAGAGGUGAAGGCUGGUGAAAAACUAGACAUGAAGCCUUUUUGUCAGCUAAUUUUAAGUUGAUUCAGACAACGCUCGCAACAAAGGUAGAGGAUGAACAAUGAUGGCACUAUGUACCCUUUUUCAUUCAUGGACAUGAUAUGAGAGCAAUGCGGGUAUUCAUGGCCCCCAUUUUUUCCCCAAGCUUUUAGACUGCAAAUAGAGAAGUAAAAUUGUGCCAAGGACUACUGAUCAUUGUUGUCUGAAAACAUGGGAGAGAGAUCAGAGUUCAGAGAACAUCGUCAACACCUGCAAAGGACAGAGGACAACGAAUCACAUUUUUGUUCAACCCACUACCCAUUUUUGUUCUAACAAGGAAAAUUAUGUCACUAAGAAAAUCAAUAACAAUCUAGCUAUUGCAGUGUCCUGCUAUGUAGCAUGCAAUCAACCAUUGAAGUUUUCAUCGAAACAGGUCACAUUCUUAUGCUGAUUGGAAGUAAUGAUCCUGACAGGUCGAAAAUAAUGAUCACUCAUCCUACAGGUCGGAAAUAAUGAUCAAUGAGGUGCUACAUGUCGGAAAUAUAGUACACUUCUUGCUUUUCACUCAUCCUACAGACCAAAAAUAAUGGUCAAUGAGAUGCAGCUGCAGGUAAGUUUGUCACAACAUGAUAUUUAAUAUCGUAAUAAACUAUAAUUGGCAUGAACUCUGGGUGAUCCACACAGCUAUAGUAAGUUAGGUAGUAACCAAUUUAUUCUAGUUGCAGCGAGCACAAAGAGAAAAACAACUAGUUAUUAAUAACAGUGACGAAUCUUAUAGAAUCUAUGCUUAGAAGCCAACUCUUGCAUGCUCUAACAGAUAAAUAGCAAAAUAAGGAAUUUCAGCAUCAACAAAAAGCAUUAGAGACCGCUCGAUUAAACAUACAAAAGUCAAUGGUUAAUCAAUAUGUCAGGAAAUUUGGAUGACCGGACAUAUCUUGCAGAAUAUACUUGCUAAAUUAUGCAAUGCCUGUAUGGUAAAAAAGGUGGUUAGGACUACGAGGGAAACAAUUUAGUGCACUUGUCUUUUUUGUCUAACAAUGUUCUUAUUUGUGCAAUAGCCCUAUCCAGAAACAAUGAGAUCCUUUUCUAGUUUUAUGGUAUUAAUAGUUGCUAGAUCAAAUAUAGUAGUUAAAUAUUCUUGAAAAUUCCUUAUGUUAGAGUGGAAGCUUUGGAAAGUUAGUACUAAGGAGCUAGACGAAGGGGAAGAAACUAAAGGAUUAACUAGGCAGAUAAAGAUAAAUUGUGCAUGCUUUUCUAGUCAGUUGCGGGGAGGUCUAGAUCCAGUUGCUCCCAACCUCAUGAAGCUAACAAUAUGUUGCAGUCUCUGACCAAUCUCCAGUUGCAUCCCUGCUCGCCCGCCGUAGCACUUACAACUGCGGCUCCUUCAUCCUCCCUGUCCUCAUAUCUCUUGAUUAGUUGGGAUCUGCAGAUAGUACUGAUAUGAUAUAGAGACAGCAGAUGCAAACAAUAUAAUUUCUUUACUACAAAUAGAAGCGUAAUACCUAAACGGAUCAAUGUAGAAGAGAAGACCAAACUGGCAAUAGCAGCUGGAGUUAUGUUGGAGAUGGAGCAGUAAGGUCAUUCCAUGCUCACGGCGUCCAAAAAAAAAUGCUCAGGGCGUCUCCUUCCACCCCACCCUUGCCGUUGUACUCCACCAUGCUCCUCCACGUCCCUGAGGAUCCUGCACCGGGCGGCAUGCACGGCAGUGGAUGCAGCCUCGGUGCCUUCACCGCGGACCCGCUCGCGCCGUUUCACGAUUCAUGAGGGACCC